AUCACUAGGGACCCAAUGCCUAGCAUAAUGUACAUGGGAUGAGAUCUUAAAUCUCAACAUUACAACCUCAUCGAUCAAUUUGACUAUAAUUCUACUAACUUUUUCGAACAAUUGUUAUCCAAGUAAAAUACAUUGCAUCAUAUUCCUCUUAUUAGGAAAGAGGUCAAGGACAUUUUAUGGUUCAUAGAAGCUACCAACGAAUAUUAUGAAAGUUGUUGUAGGACAUUAUAGACAGACUCACGAGGUUAAACUUUACACUUGUUGUUAAAU
rnacentral:lncRNA from 1 species